UACGUAGGUGGCAAGCGUUGUCCGGAUUUACUGGGCGUAAAGAGCGCGCAGGCGGCUCGGUAAGUCUGCUGUGAAAUCUCCCCGGCUUAACUGGGAGGGGUCAGCAGAUACUGUCGGGCUUGAGGCAGGUAGAGGAAGGUGGAAUUCCCGGUGUAGUGGUGAAAUGCGUAGAUAUCGGGAGGAACACCAGUGGCGAAGGCGGCCACCUGGG
rnacentral:rRNA from 1 species